UUCGGAAUUACUGGGCGUAAAGGGCGUGUAGGCGGCAACUUAAGUCGUGUGUUAAAGACCGGUGCAUACCACCGGAGCGGCAUGCGAAACUGGGUUGCUAGAGUGUAAGAGAGAGGAGUGGAAUUCUUGGAGUAGCGGUAGAAUGCGUAGAUCUCAAGAGGAACACCGAUGGCGAAGGCAGCUCCUUGGCUUACAACUGACGCUGAGACGCGAAAGCGUGGGGAGCAAACAGGAUUAGAUACCCUGGUAG
rnacentral:rRNA from 1 species